AUUGAACGCUGGCGGCAUGCCUUACACAUGCAAGUCGAACGGCAGCGGGGACUUCGGUCCGCCGGCGAGUGGCGAACGGGUGAGUAAUGUAUCGGAACGUACCAUUCAGUGGGGGAUCACUAUCCGAAAGGAUAGCUAAUACCGCAUAUUCUGUGAGCAGGAAAGCAGGGGAUCGCAAGACCUUGCGCUGAUUGAGCCGCCGAUAUCAGAUUAGCUAGUUGGUGAGGUAACGGCUCACGAAGGCUACGAUCUGUAGCGGGUCUGAGAGGAUGAUCCGCCACACUGGGACUGAGAAACGGCCCAGACUCCUACGGGAGGCAGCAGUGGGGAAUUUUGGACAAUGGGCGCAAGCUUGAUCCAGCCAUGCCGCGUGAGUGAAGAAGGCCUUCGGGUUGUAAAGCUCUUUCGGCCGGGAAGAAAUCGCAUCAGCUAAUACCUGGUGUGGAUGACGGUACCGGAAUAAGAAGCACCGGCUAACUACGUGCCAGCCGCCGCCGUAAUAC
rnacentral:rRNA from 1 species